rnacentral:rRNA from 1 species
GAAUCUUGCGCAAUGGGCGAAAGCCUGACGCAGCCAUGCCGCGUGAAUGAUGAAGGUCUUAGGAUUGUAAAAUUCUUUCACCGGGGACGAUAAUGACGGUACCCGGUGAAGAAGCCCCGGCUAACUUCGUGACAGCAGACGCGGUAAUACGACGGGGGCUAGCGUUGCUCGGAAUUACUGGGGGUAAAGGGCGCGUAGGCGGCUCGUUAAGGCAGAGGGGAAAUCCCAGGGCUCAACCCUGGAACUGCCUUUGAUACUGGCGAUCUUGAGUAUGAGAGAGGUAUGUGGAACUCCGAGUGUAGAGGUGAAAUUCGUAGAUAUUCGGAAGAACACCAGUGGCGAAGGCGACAUACUGGCUCAUUACUGACGCUGAGGCGCGAAAGCGUGGGGAGCAAACA